GAUGAAGAGCGUAGCGAAAUGCGAUAAGUAAUGUGAAUUGCAGAAUUCAGUGAAUCAUCGAAUCUUUGAACGCACAUUGCGCCCCCUGGUAUUCCGGGGGGCAUGCCUGUCCGAGCGUCAUUACAACCCUCAAGCUCAGCUUGGUAUUGGGCCCCGCCGACCCGGCGGGCCCUAAAGUCAGUGGCGGUGCCGUCCGGCUCCGAGCGUAGUAAUUCUUCUCGCUCUGGAGGUCCGGUCGUGUGCUCGCCAGCAACCCCCAAUUUUUUUCAGGUUGACCUCGGAUCAGGUAGGGAUACCCGCUGAACUUAAGCAUAUCAAUAAGCGGAGGA
rnacentral:misc_RNA from 1 species